CACGUAGGGACCAAGCGUUGUCCGGAUUUAUUGGGCGUAAAGCGCUCGUAGGCGGUUUGGUAAGUCGGGUGUGAAACCUCCAGGCUCAACCUGGUGACGCCACCCGAUACUGCUAUGACUUGAGUUCGGUAGGGGAGCGGGGAAUUCCUGGUGUAGCGGUGAAAUGCGCAGAUAUCAGGAGGAACACCGGUGGCGAAGGCGGAUCUCUGGGCCGAUACUGACGCUGAGGAGCGAAAGCGUGGGGAGCGAACAGG
rnacentral:rRNA from 1 species